rnacentral:rRNA from 1 species
GAUGAACGCUAGCGGCAGGCCUAACACAUGCAAGUCGAGGGAGAAGCCCUUUCGAGGGCAGAAACCGGCGCACGGGUGCGUAACGCGUAUGCAACCUACCUUCCACAGGGGGAUAGCCCGAAGAAAUUUGGAUUAAUACCCCAUAAUAUUAUUGGAUGGCAUCAUUUGAUAAUUAAAACUGCGGUGGUGAAAGAUGGGCAUGCGUCCUACUAGCUAGUUGGAGUGGUAACGGCACCCCAAGGCUACGAUAGGUAGGGGUCCUGAGAGGGAGAUCCCCCACACUGGUACUGAGACAGGGACCAGACGCCUACGGGAGGCAGCAGUGAGGAAUAUUGGGCAAUGGUCGGAAGACUGAACCAGCCAUGCCGCGUGCAGGAAGAAUGCCUUAUGGGUUGUAAACUGCUUUUAGAUGGGAAGAAUAAGGUGUACGUGUACAUUGAUGACGGUACCAGAUGAAUAAGCAUCGGCUAACUCCGUG